rnacentral:rRNA from 1 species
AGUGAAUAGAUACCCGGGUAGUCCUAGCCGUAAACGAUACUCGCUAGGUGUCGGCCACGGUGCGACCGUUGUCGGUGCCGUAGGGAAAGCCGUGAAGCGAGCCACCUGGGAAGUACGGCCGCAAGGCUGAAACUUAAAGGAAUUGGCGGGGGAGCACCACAACGGGUGGAGCUUGCGGUUUAAUUGGAUUCAACGCCGGAAAUCUUACCGGGACCGACAGCGAUAUGAAGGCCAGGCUGAAGACUUUGCCGGAUUAGCUGAGAGGUGGUGCAUGGCCGUCGUCAAUUCGUACUGUGAAAGCAUCCUGUUAAGUCAGGCAACGAGCGAGACCCACGCCCACAGUUGCCAGCGUACUCUCCGGAGUGACGGGUACACUGUGGGGACCGCCGCUGCUAAAGCGGAGGAAGGAAUGGGCAACGGUAGGUCAGUAUGCCCCGAAUAUCCCGGGCUACACGCGAGCUACAAUGGUUGGUACAAUGGGUAUCUACCCCGAAAGGGGAUGGAGAUCUCCUAAAACCAAUCUUAGUUCGGAUUGAGGGCUGCAACUCGCCCUC